GCAGUUGUGGCCGAGUGGUUAAGGCGAUGGACUCGAAAUUCAUUGGGAUCAUCCCGCGCAGGUUCGAAUCCUGCCGACUGCG
rnacentral:tRNA from 1 species